rnacentral:rRNA from 1 species
CCUACGGGUGGCAGCAGUGAGGAAUAUUGGUCAAUGGCCGUAAGGCUGAACCAGCCAAGUAGCGUGAGGGAAGACUGCCCUAUGGGUUGUAAACCUCUUUUAUGCGGGGAUAAAGGUGUCCACGUGUGGAUGUUUGCAGGUACCGCAUGAAUAAGGACCGGCUAAUUCCGUGCCAGCAGCCGCGGUAAUACGGAAGGUCCGGGCGUUAUCCGGAUUUAUUGGGUUUAAAGGGUGCGUAGGCGGAAUAUCAAGUCAGCGGUAAAAAUUCGGGGCUCAACCCCGUCGUGCCGUUGAAACUGAUGUUCUUGAGUGGGCGAGAAGUAUGCGGAAUGCGUGGUGUAGCGGUGAAAUGCAUAGAUAUCACGCAGAACUCCGAUUGCGAAGGCAGCAUACCGGCGCCCAACUGACGCUGAAGCACGAAAGCGUGGGUAUCGAACAGGAUUAGAUACCCGUGUAGUC